GGAAUUUAUAAAAAAGAAAAAUUGCGUUUGUCUACCCUAAUUGAUUCCCUUGAUAAAAUAGCGGAGGUGAGGCCUCUGUCUGCUGUUGAGAUCGAGCAAAAAAGCAAUCUUAACGAGCAGAUUGCCCACCUACUACGUGAGGAAGAGAUUAAAUGGUACCAACGUAGCAAGGCGGAUUCGUUAGUGCUAGGUGAUGAUAAUACGAAAUACUUUCAGAUGCUUGCCAAUGGCAGACAUAGAAAGAAGCGUAUAUUCGCCCUUGAUCAGGAGGAAGGCCGAAUAGAGGGGGACGUACCACUUAGAAAUUUUAUCACUAAGUUUUACAAAUACCUUUUUGGGCCUUCAGCCGAGACUAAUUUUCAUCUAGAUGAAUCCGUUACUCAUGACAUCACUCAAGUUACGGAAGCGGAAAAUGAAUUCCUAACCUCUCCUUUUUCUGAGGAGGAAAUUCGAACCGCUGUGUUUCAGAUGGAACACAACAAGGCACCGGGACCGGAUGGCUUUCCCGCAGAGUUCUAUCAAUGCUUUUGGGACGUCAUUAAGGCAGACUUGGUUCAGUUGUUUAACCAACUGCAUUUCGAGGACCUUGACAUUUCUCGUUUAAACUUUGGGGAAAUUAUCCUACUGCCUAAGAUUAAGGAG
rnacentral:rRNA from 1 species